rnacentral:lncRNA from 10 species
AGAUAUUUGACAAGUGAGGUCUCCAAAGGUGCCCCACCAACCUUGCAAGGCCCACGAUGGUUCCAGACUUAGAAAUCCAUCCUGUUAAUCCUUAUUGCGCUUGCCAGUGAUUAGUGUUAAACAGGCAUAUGACUCAGUCCUGGGCAUUUCGAAUUAAGGAAAAGUCUGCCAGAGGGCUUCUAGGAGAGACUUCCCUACCUGGAAUGGGUUGAUAGGGGGAGAGAGGGGUGGAGAGGGAGCGAGGGAGUGAGAAAAAGACUGGAGCAAGAGAGAGAGAAGCCAAAAGCUAAAGAAGAAAGCCCUGACUCUCCCUCCUUGGUUGGGAUGUUGUCCUUUAAGGAUGUGAUGCUUGGAGCUGUGGCAGCCAUCUUGUAACCAUGAGAAAAGAAAGCGCCACUCUGAAGUUGAUGGAGAAGAAAGACAGGAAGAGCAUGGGUCCUUCGUGGCAUUGUUGAGCCACUGAACCAACUCUGCAACCUCCCAGCUGCAGUCGUUGUCUUACAUAGGGCAUGGAGCCCUUUGUGCCUCAGCCAGCCAAGCCCAGAUCCAGCCACGUGGACGUGUGCUGACAGCACCGUCGAUGCACAGUCUCCACCAAGCUGGGACAAAGGUACACAUCCUGCGGGGGCAGGGCGGGGCGGCAGUCACCACCCUAGCACUAGGGAGCUCUCUGCUUUAGGCGAUGGAAAGCCCAGAAUCCUUUCUGGUGAGAUUCAGGCGGCAGUGCAAGGAGCCACUAAGAACGGCUGCUUCAUCUUCUGGCGUGAAGAGCUGCGUCAGCCGCGGUGGGUGCAAUGCCCUCUCAAAACCUUCUCCCAGCCUGCUGGGCCACUUUCGCUCCAGAUCUCUUGUGGCUAAUGAGGGAAAGGGGAGCAGGGAGCUGUUGCCUGCACUUCCAGAAGGAGGGGAGGUUGGGGAGAGGCAGAGAGGGCCGCCUGGCCUAGAUGGCUGUGCCUCUCUUGAGCCCAGGAGAGACUCCAGUACUUACAGGAACUCAAACGAUCCCUGGUGACAGCUGGAGGAAAUUAUUCACACUGUCAAGAGAGAGGCUUAUACCACGAACGGUUCCAAUUCAUUAUUUUUAAAUCCCCCAGCUGGCUAAAGAGUUAGAAGAAAAGAUGUGACAAUCAUUUGAGUCUUGUCCCAGAUGGGCUGUCACUCAAGGGCUAUGAAAAUCGAAUGGGACUGGGCUGGUGGUCACAAAAACUGCAGGGCGCACUGGCAAUUCUGCAGGGCUUUGCAGGAUGGUGGAAGGUGGUCUGGUGGGCCAUACUGGGCAGCAGUGGUGAUCCAGCCCCUAUGGCUCAGUAGCAUUUCUACCCAAAGACAGAACAUGUAAUUAAUUGUCCUACCUCCAUCCCAGAGGUGGGUACCAGGAUGGCUUCCAUGCACCUGGGGUGAGGAGGGGUUGCCUGCACGCCCCUCUUCACUCCUGACACACAGCCUUCCUCAGGGGCAAAUGUGCCUCUUGCGUCAGCUCUCCAGGGCAGACCCUGGCGAGGGCACAGGUCCUUCUUUUAUGGGCAGAGGAAAGAAAAGCAAGCAUUCCAGCUGGAGCGGACACUGAGUUUCAGAUGUUUGGCAUUUGAACCUCCUUCCUGUGUUCAGGGGAUCCCCAUGUUAUGAAGUGGGGACCUCCACUUUGGAAGGCAGAAUUCUCAAGAUGCGGCUUUUUUCUUUUCUUUGAGACAGGGUCUUGUUCUGUCACCCAGGCUGGAGUGCAGUGGUGCAAUCACGGUUCACUGCAGCCUUGACUUCCCAGGCUUAAGUGAUCCUCCCACCUCAGCCUCUUGAGUAGCUGGGAAAACAGGUGUAUACCACUGUGCCUUGCUGAUUUUAUUUUUUGUAGGGAGGGUUUCACAUUGUUGCCUAGGCUGGUCUCUAGCUCCUGGGCUCGAGACCUCCUGCCUAGGCCUCCCAAAGCGCCAGGAUUACAGGCACAAGCCACUACGCCUGGCUGGAUGCUGUUUUUUCUAACCUCUCCCUCAGCCGAGGCAGUAUGCUUGCCUGAGACCUUGAAGUGGCAGCUAGUGGCUGUUUAAAAUCCCUUUUGGUGACAAGUAGAAGCCUCUACAUUUAGUUUCCAAAAGAGCAGAGGCAGUGGUCCCAGUGACAGUGCCCAGCAUUGGGGGUGUCUGUGGUGUAAGUCCUGGGGUAUGAACCUGGGAGUACUGGAGAAUGACAUGGGAUCUUGGUCCUGGCUAGGGAGCCGCUUAGCCUGGUGACCAUGUGACCUAUCCAAUAUUGUUUAAUAAACUUCCCACUUAACCCAGCCACAGUUGGUUUCUGUUGUUUGCAAAUGAACUUCGAGACAAUGGCAGCUGGUGGCACAGAGAUUAGAGCCAGUUACUGGGAUUUCUCUUUGGCAAGUCCAUCCUGGGUUUGCAUCUGGGAAGAUCUUUCACAAAAGGAGAUGUGGAAGGCACAACCAUCCCCUCGUGCCCAAUUCAGAUGCAGCUUACCCUUUGCAGAGCCUGGCACCUUGGCUAUGCCAGCUGCAGGGGAAAGGGGUGGCGGCCACCUGCAAGGGUUGGGCCAAUGCUGCACAGGAUUCGGGCUCAAGACACCAACACCCUGCUAGGCCAGCGCAGGGAACACUCACCACGGGAGCCUAGGGGCUUCCUCAGGGGCCUUCAAGCACAAAAAGAGAUACUUUUCACCCUCCCACCCCCCAACCAGGCUGUAUGCCUGCCUGGCCCUCAGUGGGCAUGGCAGAAAUGCUAGGAUUCGUGUUGGAUUCAUGCAUUUUUCAGAAUAGUUUAAGGACUGCACGAAGACAGAGGGACGAAUCACAUGACUUCAGAGUUCAUUGGUUCCAACUAUUCCAGCUCUCCUGAGAAGGCAUGUUUUGCCAAAAGUGCACAUAUGUUCCUCUAAAGAAAACCAUGGUAGUUUUUUGAUGGAAUUUUUUCCUCUCCCAGGCAUCGUCAGACGUGCCCAGCACUCGACUGCAGAGCAGCCUCUCUCACAGUUUCCACUCUCAUUUCUCAAAGAACUCUCUUGGUACCUCAAGGCCGUGGCUUUCCUAAGUGGCUUUUUGAGGGAGACAGCAGGGACUGGGCUUUAAGGGGGCCACAGCGCAGCUUUCUUUUCCCCUCACAGGCAGAGCUAUCAGUAGCCACGUCGGGUAGAACAGAAGGCAUUCUGGGAACGCGGUGCUCUCACAUCCUGCAAAGUACAGGCCUGCAGAGCAGAUGGCAGGGACUUCAAAAGCUAAGUCACCUUGAAAGAUAAUGGCACAAAGGGCGAUUGGGGGUGGGGUGGGUGGGAGGCUUUUGUACCCUUUUGCAACAAGGAAGCAGAAAAGACAAAAGCUAUUUGCCAGCCUGGUGCGGGAAUCAACAGAAUAGAGAGAUGGUUCUGCUGCAAUUUCCAUCAAGGGUGGCCAAGCCUCCAGUCUUCUUGUCCAGAAGUAAGUGGCAUCAACCAACUCUGCCAAACUGCAUUUCCUGCCUCCUGAUCUGGGGUCUUUUCCUUUUCUUUUUUCACACAGGGAGUAUUUCCAUCCUCUCUGUCCAGGCAGCUGAGCCUUGACAACCUCUCCUCCCCUUCACCAUGCCCCGACUGAUCUCCUAAUGGAGCCCCACCCCUCGAGUCCCUGGGCCUGUGGAAGGUAGGGUCUCCCCCUCCUCCUCAUCCUCCCCCACUCCACUCCAGGUGGGGUUGCAAUAGGGCUUAUCUGGUUUCCUCUAAGCAUGAAGCCCUUGACCAGAGGAGGAGCGGGAGUUCACGUCACGCCCCCAUGCUUAGUCCUGGCCUUUUGCAUUUUUUGUGGAUGGGUAAACUGAGGUACAUAGUGGUCAACUCAUGCCCAGGAUCACAGAGGCACUGGCAGGGUGGCAGGAAUGCUGAAUUCACCUGAUGAGAGCCAGGGACAGCAGCGGGUGGGGCGGUGGCUGCUUUUCAACUGAAGUUGUUAAAAGGAAUGCUUAUUCCUGGCCCCACCGGCUUGCCCUCCAAGGCAGAACGUGUUAAUACCGAGCCCCAGCAAAGGUUCAAAUUGACUUCUUGGCUCUGAGCAGGGAGGUAGAAGUUCCUGCCCCCGCCACCCCCGGCUCGAGGCUCCAGGGGCUGCCAGGCUCCUCUCGCCUGGCCUAGAAACAAUCCCCUCCUGCCACCUCCACGCAGGUGCUGUCAGGACAGGCCCUCUGCCCUCAAACAUCUGCUCCUCUCCUCGGGGAGGGGGGCCUCAGCUGCGCGCUGAAGGGGCCAGGCCUCAGAAGCCUGUUCUCCUUUGAAGCUGACAGCUUGAUGCCUGUGGAAAUGCGGUCCUAUUUCAGGAUUUCAUUUUAAAGAGGUUUCAAAGGAGUGGCUGGAAGGCUUGGUGGAAUCGCUUAUUACGGCUCCUCUCCCGGCCCGCAGCUUGGUGGCUGAGCACGUCAUCAUCAUUGGCAGGCAGGUGACUGUUCUAAAUUAGCACCUGGCUCAUUCUGGAGGGCUCUAACUCUUCCUGAGCUUUUUCCAAGAACAACUUUCAUGACUUAUACCUUCUUAUACCUUUCCCACGUUAUCUGUUUGAAAUGAUCCACGGGGCAGGUGAAUUACGUGUCAUCUCCAAGACUCUUGUUUCUGUCGGGCAUGUCUUAAAGACACACACACAUGCAAAGGCUAUGAAAAUGCGACCCCCCAGACCUGGGAAGCUGCAGCCCGUGGAGCCUCAGGGGCAAAGGGAGCAAACUGGCUUGUGAGGGAAGAGCUGCUCUGGUCAGCGGCUGUUGUGGGAUGGGGAGGGAACAGGGUGACCCAAGGGGGCAGGGGCCUGGUGCCAUGUCUGCUCAUGUGCCGCCCUCCUUGUCUCUGGGAUCUGCCCCCAAAAUGCAAGAAACGCGUAAGCCCACUGUAGCAGAUAUGGAGAGACUCCGGGGGAUUUUCCUUUACCUAACUACUCUGCACCUCUGCAAGGGAGAGCAUUAUGGUUUGGAAGAAAUGGAAACGGCAUGGAAGUCCCAUGUGGGCAGAGCCUGCACACCAAACCCUUCUAGACUGCAAAGGGUUUGACUCAGCCCAAAGAGGACUCUGCCAGGAAGCUGUCAGGCACCUGAGGCCACCUGCCUCUCCUCCGCUUCAGGAAUAACCAUCAGUACUGCAUCUUGGCUCUGAGGGGCACUGGGCAUCACGAUGCCCACUCGAAGCAGCUAGGGCACGUUGAUCUCUGCAUCUCCAUACAGAUGUCCGAGGAAAUGAUCCCAUAGCCUCAUCUCUGUUUCAGAGGCAGAGGCAGAGUCCACCAUAAUCUAGCCCAUUGCUCUCAACCAGACAGAGCGCACCUCCUGGCCACUAGGUAAGACAAUGCCCGGAGAGAAACUCC